GCCAGCAGCCAUAUCACCCUGCAACUCACAACUGGGAACCCACUGAAGCUCAGCAGGUGUGAGCCUGGUCAGUACCUGGAUAGGAGACCUCCUGGGAAAACCUAAAGUUGCUACUGGAA
rnacentral:rRNA from 1 species